AAAGGCUUAAGUUAAUAGAAACUAAAAGCCUUCAAAGCUUUAAAUGGCAAUCCCAGCCUUUA
rnacentral:tRNA from 1 species